AUUGAACGCUGGCGGCAUGCCUUACACAUGCAAGUCGAACGGUAACGCGGGGCAACCUGGCGACGAGUGGCGAACGGGUGAGUAAUGUAUCGGAACGUGCCCAGUUGUGGGGGAUAACUGCUCGAAAGAGCAGCUAAUACCGCAUACGACCUGAGGGUGAAAGCGGGGGAUCGCAAGACCUCGCGCAAUCGGAGCGGCCGAUAUCAGAUUAGGUAGUUGGUGGGGUAAAGGCCCACCAAGCCAACGAUCUGUAGCUGGUCUGAGAGGACGACCAGCCACACUGGGACUGAGACACGGCCCAGACUCCUACGGGAGGCAGCAGUGGGGAAUUUUGGACAAUGGACGCAAGUCUGAUCCAGCCAUGCCGCGUGCGGGAAGAAGGCCUUCGGGUUGUAAACCGCUUUUGUCAGGGAAGAAACGCUCUGGGUUAAUACCUCGGGGUAAUGACGGUACCUGAAGAAUAAGCACCGGCUAACUACGUGCCAGCAGCCGCCGUAAGAC
rnacentral:rRNA from 1 species